GGGGCAUGUCAUUAGGGAGGCUUGGCAGUCCUCUUUCUCUAUCUUAAAAGGCUAGUGCUGUUGCAUAGCUUCCUAGUGGUUAGGAUGAUAGGAGGGAUGAUCAGCUCUCAAAGUGCGGAAGGGGAGUUGAUUCUACUACAAUUGGUAUAUAGCUGUGAUUGGCUCCACAGAUUUCUGAGCAUUGGCCA